UACGUAGGGGGCAAGCGUUGUUCGGAAUUACUGGGCGUAAAGGGCGCGUAGGCGGCCGCCUAAGUCAGACGUGAAAUCCCUCGGCUCAACCGGGGAACUGCGUCUGAUACUGGGUGGCUUGAAUCCGGGAGAGGGAUGCGGAAUUCCAGGUGUAGCGGUGAAAUGCGUAGAUAUCUGGAGGAACACCGGUGGCGAAGGCGGCAUCCUGGACCGGCAUUGACGCUGAGACGCGAAAGCGUGGGGAGCGAACAGG
rnacentral:rRNA from 1 species